rnacentral:tRNA from 1 species
GCUGGGAUAGCUCAGUUGGUAGAGCAACGCAUUCGUAAUGCGUGGGUCGCAGGUUCGAUUCCUGUUUCCAGCACCA